rnacentral:rRNA from 1 species
GAUGAACGCUGGCGGCGUGCUUAAUACAUGCAAGUCGAGCGAACGGACGCGACGCUUGCUUCUCUGAUGUUAGCGGCGGACGGGUGAGUAACACGUGGAUCCCCUCCCUAUAUGACUGGGAUAACUUCGGGAAACGGGCGCUAACACCGGAUAAUAUUUUGAACCGCAUGGUUCAAAAGUGAAAGACGGUUUUGCUGUCACUUAUAGAUGGAUCCGCGCUGCAUUAGCUAGUUGGUAAGGUAACGGCGUACCAAGGCAACGAUGCAUAGCCGACCUGAGAGCGUGAUCGGCCGCACGGGAACUGAGACACGGUCCAGACGCCUACGGGAGGCAGCAGUAGGGCAGCGGCCGCAAUGGGCGAAAGCCUGACGGAGCAACGCCGCGUGAGUGAUGAAGGUCUUCGGAUCGUAAAACUCUGUUAUUAGGGAAGAACAUAUGUAUAAGUAACUGUGCACAUCUUGAGGGUACCUAAUCAGAAAGCCACGGCUAACUACGUG